rnacentral:rRNA from 1 species
CGCGUAGGCGGCUUUUCAAGUGACGGGUGAAAUCCCUCGGCUUAACCGAGGAACUGCCUGUCAGACUGGAAGGCUUGAGACCGGGAGAGGUGAGUGGAAUUCCCAGUGUAGCGGUGAAAUGCGUAGAUAUUGGGAGGAACACCAGUGACGAAGGCGGCUCACUGGACCGGAACUGACGCUGAGGCGCGAAAGCGUGGGGAGCAAACA